rnacentral:rRNA from 1 species
AAUAGAUACCCCGGUAGUCCACGCCGUAAACGAUGAGUGCUAAGUGUUAGAGGGUUUCCGCCCUUUAGUGCUGCAGCUAACGCAUUAAGCACUCCGCCUGGGGAGUACGGCCGCAAGGCUGAAACUCAAAGGAAUUGACGGGGGCCCGCACAAGCGGUGGAGCAUGUGGUUUAAUUCGAAGCAACGCGAAGAACCUUACCAGGUCUUGACAUCCUCUGCCAACCCUAGAGAUAGGGCGUUCCCCCUUCGGGGGACAGAGUGACAGGUGGUGCAUGGUUGUCGUCAGCUCGUGUCGUGAGAUGUUGGGUUAAGUCCCGCAACGAGCGCAACCCUUGAUCUUAGUUGCCAGCAUUCAGUUGGGCACUCUAAGGUGACUGCCGGUGACAAACCGGAGGAAGGUGGGGAUGACGUCAAAUCAUCAUGCCCCUUAUGACCUGGGCUACACACGUGCUACAAUGGAUGGUACAAAGAGCUGCGAACCCGCGAGGGUAAGCGAAUCUCAUAAAGCCAUUCUCAGUUCGGAUUGUAGG